rnacentral:rRNA from 1 species
CCGCUCCAUAGCGUAUAUUAAAGUUGUUGCAGUUAAAAAGCUCGUAGUUGGAUCUCGGGUACUAGCAUGUGGUACGCUUAAUUGCUGUUACUACAUGUCUGGUCCUAAUCAAUCGGUUGGCCGUUGAUGCCCUUUACUGGGUGUUUUCGGUAGCCGGUACGUUUACUUUGAGAAAAUUAGAGUGCUUAAAGCAGGCAUUCCGCCUGAAUAAUGUUGCAUGGAAUAAUAGAAUAGGACCUCGGUUCUAUUUUGUUGGUUUUGUAGAGCAUUGAGGUAAUGAUUAAUAGGGACAGACGGGGGCAUUCGUAUUGCGGUGUUAGAGGUGAAAUUCUUGGAUCGCCGCAAGACRAACAACUGCKAAAGCAUUUGCCWAKAAUGUUUUCAUUAAUMAAGAACGAARGUUGGAGGUUCGAAGACSAUUAGAUACCGUCCUAGUUCCAACCAUAAACGAUGCCAACUAGCGAUUAGCUGCUGUAAAUUAAACGAAMRAMWCAWCWARC